AUUGAACGCUGGCGGCAGGCCUAACACCUGCAAGUCGAACGAGUGGCGGACGGGUGAGUAAUGUCUGGGACACUGCCCGAUAGGGGGGGAUAACUACUGGAAACGGUCGCUACUCCCGCAUACUAUCGGAUGUGCCCAUAUGUGAUUAGCUCGUAGGUGGGGUAACGGCUCACCUAGGCGAAGAGCCCUAGCUGGUCUGAGAGGAUGACCAGCAACACUGGAACGUAGACACGGUCCAGACUCCUACGGGAGGCAGCAGUGGGGAAUAUUGCACAAGGGGCGCAAGCCUGAUGCAGCCAUGCCGCGUGUAUGAAGAAGGCCUUAGGGUUGUAAAGUACUUUCAGCGAGGAGGCGUUACUCGCAGAAGAAGCACCGGCUAACUCCGUGCCAGCAGCCGCGGUAAUUC
rnacentral:rRNA from 1 species